CACGUAGGGUGCAAGCGUUGUCCGGAAUUAUUGGGCGUAAAGAGCUCGUAGGCGGUCUGUCACGUCCGCUGUGAAAAGCUAGGGCUUAACCCUGGCCUUGCAGUGGAUACGGGCAGACUAGAGGUAGGUAGGGGAGAAUGGAAUUCCCGGUGUAGCGGUGAAAUGCGCAGAUAUCGGGAGGAACACCGGUGGCGAAGGCGGUUCUCUGGGCCUUACCUGACGCUGAGGAGCGAAAGCGUGGGGAGCGAACAGG
rnacentral:rRNA from 1 species